UAAAUUCUGACAUUUUAUUGAAUAUUUUAUUCAGACUCAAACAUCAGUGACAAGUGAACAGGAGGUUCUUGUUUUCUGACUACAUGUACAAAUAAGAUUCACAUAUAAUUUUUCAAACAAACUCACUAGAAUAUUUAAAUUGGCAGUUAUCUUAAAAGCUUUACGCCCAUUUUUAAGAAAAAGUGAAAAAAAGUUCCUUAUAGACUACUAUAUGGGG
rnacentral:lncRNA from 1 species